ensembl:lncRNA
GCUUAAUCUACUAUGACAUUGAGUUUCAUAAUUUACAGUUGUAAGGACUCUAACUAGUACAAUAGCUUUAUUCCUCAACAACAGCAAUAAUAAUUGUGACGAUAGCAGUAACUGUGGAGAUGCUGUAGCAGCAGCUAACGAUGCGGAGGGCUCGCUGGGCGCCAGGUAGAGUGCUUGGGGAUUUACAAGAGCGGUUUCAUGUAAUUUUCAAAACGAGCUUUACAGAUGGGAAAAACAUGGGUCAGAUAAGCUGCGCAAGACCACAGCCCUAAUAAGCAGUGGUCCCAGAGCCCGUCUGAUGUCUGAGCCGACUUUUUAACUGCCAUCUGAUGUGUCCCCUUCAGGGCCGUGGUUACGCUUCUUACUUAUAUCACCACAUGUCCCCGUUGCCUCUAAGGGGAUAAGCCAGUGCUGACUGAAUGCACGUGUGUGGCUUGCUUGGCAAGAGCGGUCUUAACGCUAGAGAAGAGAAAUAGGCUACUGUUUUUGAGCACUUACCACACACUAUCAACUUUAUAGGCUGCUUAUUGGUCGGAAUAUCCUGUAGACGAGGAAACUGAGGCUCUGAGAGGUUCCCACCGCCAACGACAGGGAUUUGAAGCCCGAGGCUGCUCCCCGUUCCCACCCAAACCAGACGGCAGGUGUAAGGGCCGUGGUGGAGGCUGGUGAGGGUGCCACUUGCUUCUCCUUGACCUCGGGGAAGAUGAAGUCGUGAGUCAGGAGGGAGGCAGCUGGCCGGCUCCUGUGAUGUCAGAGCGGAUGGUCGUUGCCUUGGGGUUCGGUCUCACGCUCCGGAAGAACCUGGUUUCACGGUGAGAGAGUCCCCGUCUCUCAAGGGUUCUGUACUCAGGUUAGCUAACCUGAUGGUGACUGUGACUUCAGAAUUGAGCCAGGCUCUGAGCACUUCUUACCACGCCCACCUCUGCCCCCAUCUGGUCCAGCACCCCCGCCUCUCACCUGGGUUGUGGCAGCAGGCUCCUGCUUGGCCUACGGCUUCAGCCUCACCUUCUCAUUAAAAAGGAAAUGAGGUCAAGUCCGGUGACCUCAUGCUGGGCCGCACACAUCUUCUGGCUGCUUUGCAGCCCCUCUUACUAUCUCUGCUGUGACACACACAUUUGCGAAGAACCCUGAGGCUCUUAGCAGCUUUCCUCCUAGGCACAUUGACAUUUCACGGGACCCUGGAGAGAUUACACAGUGAGGAAGACAAUCAUUCUCGUCCGGCCUGGGCACCUGCUGCAGUACGGUCACCUGGUCUGGCUCCAUCGAAGCAGAAGGAAAGGAAGAUUUCACUCUGAGAGGGAAUAUAAGAGUCUGGGUGUCGUACCCACAUGUUUAUGUGAAAUGAGAUUGGUGAGAGGCUCAGAAUCCCAGCUCCGGCCAGUGCAACAAGCAAAGAAAGCAGGGGUCAGCGGGCUGCCAGCUCCCUCCAGGAGGGGACUCCCCUCUUAGCCUCCAGGCAUCGAUGAAGACCAGCUUCUCUUGCUGCUGUGAUGCUGCUCCACCUGCCCAGCUGUAUUGAGGGACUGUUAUUUCCAAGCAGUGAUGUACAAUCGUCAGAGCAAUAAAUAAUAUAUACUGGAUUACAAAAUAACCAGCCAUAAGAUAUAUAACAUUUUACUAAAGUAUAUAAUAAUGUAGUGUUCUAUGAAUUAUCUUUUUUUUUGAAGAUUUUAUUUUUUCCCCUUUUUCUCCCCAAAGCCCCCCGGUACAUAGUUGUAUAUUCU